CCCCCCAUAAACCUUUUGCAAUGGCAAUCAGCGUCAGUAAAACAUAAUCAUUACAACUUUCAACAACGGAUCUCUUGGUUCUGGCAUCGAUGAAGAACGCAGCGAAAUGCGAUAAGUAGUGUGAAUUGCAGAAUUCAGUGAAUCAUCGAAUCUUUGAACGCACAUUGCGCCCUUUGGUAUUCCAAAGGGCAUGCCUGUUCGAGCGUCAUUUGUACCCUCAAGCUUUGCUUGGUGUUGGGCGUCUUUGUCUCCGGCUUGCCUGGAGACUCGCCUUAAAGUGAUUGGCAGCCGGCCUACUGGUUUCGGAGCGCAGCACAAGUCGCGCUCUCUUCCAGCCAAGGUCAGCGUCCACCAAGCCACCUUUUUUACCUUUGACCUCGGAUCAGGUAGGGAUACCCGCUGAACUUAAG
rnacentral:rRNA from 1 species